CCACCCAAUCUACUAAAAUCAAGCAUUUAACAACACAAGAAAAAAACAUUAAGAGAAAAAAUUGAUUGAACACCGUAUGGACUUUUCAGCAUCACAAAUUCAUCAUAUACAAGAUAUCUGCUUCUCCUCUAUGUUCAUGUCUAAAUAACAGGCGUACUGGUUCUUUAAUUUUCUUGUCCAUUUGACUAUAUCAUCCCUGGGAGCAUCACAAAAACACCUCAAAAUAUAAACAUUUCAAUUGAUUCAAGCAGAAACUUGCAAUAACGGGAACCAAAGAAGAAACAAGGUAGGAAUCUUAGCUAAAGCAAUUAAAAGACUAAAAAACAAUAGCAUAAGCCUUUCGCCUUACACCU
rnacentral:lncRNA from 1 species